rnacentral:rRNA from 1 species
UGAGGCACGAAAGCGUGGGGAGCAAACAGGAUUAGAUACCCUGGUAGUCCACGCCGUAAACGAUGAGUACUAAAUGUUGGGUAAAACCAGUGUUGAAGUUAACACAUUAAGUACUCCGCCUGAGUAGUACGUACGCAAGUAUGAAACUUAAAGGAAUUGACGGGACUCCGCACAAGCGGUGGAUCAUGUUGUUUAAUUCGAAGGUACCCGAAAAACCUCACCAGGUCUUGACAUGCUUCUGCAAAGCUGUAGAAACACAGUGGAGGUUAUCAGUUGCACAGGUGGUGCAUGGUUGUCGUCAGCUCGUGUCGUGAGAUGUUGGGUUAAGUCCCGCAACGAGCGCAACCCUUAUUGUUAGUUGCCAGCACGUAAUGGUGGGGACUUUAGCAAGACUGCCAGUGAUAAAUUGGAGGAAGGUGGGGACGACGUCAAAUCAUCAUGCCCCUUAUGACCUGGGCUACAAACGUGAUACAAUGGCUGUUACA